CCUACGGGAGGCAGCAGUGGGGGAUAUUGCACAAUGGGGGGAACCCUGAUGCAGCGACGCCGCGUGGGUGAAGGAGUGCUUCGGCAUGUAAAGCCCUAUCGGCAGGGAAGAAGCAAGACGGUACCUGACUAAGAAGCCCCGGCUAACUACGUGCCAGCAGCCGCGGUAAUACGUAGGGGGCGAGCGUUAUCCGGAGUCACGGGGUGGAAAGGGAGCGUAGACGGCCAAGCAAGCCAGGGGUGAAAGCCCGGGGCCCAACCCCGGGACUGCCCUUGGAACUGCAUGGCUGGAGUGCGGGAGGGGCAGGCGGAAUUCCUGGAGUAGCGGUGAAAUGCGUAGAUAUCAGGAGGAACACCGGCGGCGAAGGCGGCCUGCUGGACCGCGACUGACGUUGAGGCUCGAAAGCGUGGGGAGCGAACAGGAUUAGAUACCCGGGUAGUC
rnacentral:rRNA from 1 species